rnacentral:rRNA from 1 species
GUGGGGAAUCUUCCGCAAUGGACGAAAGUCUGACGGAGCAACGCCGCGUGAGUGAUGAAGGUCUUCGGAUUGUAAAGCUCUGUUAAUCGGGACGAAAGAGCCUAGUGUGAAUAAUGCUAGGAAGUAACGGUACCGGAAUAGAAAGCCACGGCUAACUACGUGCCAGCAGCCGCGGUAAUACGUAGGUGGCAAGCGUUGUCCGGAAUUAUUGGGCGUAAAGCGCGCGCAGGCGGAUCUGCCAGUCUGUCUUAAAAGUUCGGGGCUUAACCCCGUGAUGGGAUGGAAACUACAGAUCUAGAGUAUCGGAGAGGAAAGUGUAAUUCCUAGUGUAGCGGUGAAAUGCGUAGAUAUUAGGAAGAACACCAGUGGCGAAGGCGACUUUCUGGACGAAAACUGACGCUGAGGCGCGAAAGCCAGGGGAGCGAACGGGAUUAGAAACCCCAGUAGUCC